rnacentral:tRNA from 1 species
GAGGUCUUAGCUUAAUUAAAGUGCUUGAGUUGCAGUCAGGUGAUGCAAGUUAGAGUUUUGCAGGCCUUC